CGAUCACGGGCAAUACCAGACGCUCCAGAAACCGAAACUUUGCGUUACACUGCCUAUAGGCAAUGGACAGCAUGGAUACAUGGAAAGCUUGGCAAGAAAUAUCGACUUCCUAUACCAUCCUGUGCUGUUAAAGAAAUAAGGAAAGCAUUUCCUUCACCUUCUGGCAUAUAUAAAGGCUUUGAAUAUGCACAGCAUUUAUAAAUACCUCUUGCAUUGCCUUGUAAAAGAAAUGUGUAUGCUUUGGUGCAUAUAGUAUAACAACUCGAUGAAAACAUAUCAAUUACUGUAAAUAACUAUUAUGUCUUAUACCAGAGCAUUUAGGAUUAAUUUGUACCUUUCUUUAUCCAUAA